rnacentral:rRNA from 1 species
GACGAACGCUGGCGGCGUGCUUAACACAUGCAAGUCGAACGGAAAGGCCCUGCUUUUGUGGGGUGCUCGAGUGGCGAACGGGUGAGUAACACGUGAGUAACCUGCCCUUGACUUUGGGAUAACUUCAGGAAACUGGGGCUAAUACCGGAUAGGAGCUCCUGCUGCAUGGUGGGGGUUGGAAAGUGUCGGCGGUUGGGGAUGGACUCGCGGCUUAUCAGCUUGUUGGUGGGGUAGUGGCUUACCAAGGCUUUGACGGGUAGCCGGCCUGAGAGGGUGACCGGCCACAUUGGGACUGAGGAACGGCCCAGACUCCUACGGGAGGCAGCAGUAGGGAAUAUUGCACAAUGGGCGGAGGCCUGAUGAAGCAACGCCGCGUGCGGGAGGAAGGCCUUCGGGUUGUAGACCGCUUUCGCCUGUGACGAAGCGUGAGUGACGGUAAUGGGUAAAGAAGCACCGGCUAACUACGUG